rnacentral:lncRNA from 1 species
GGGGCUGCCCAUAGCACAGGCAAACUCAAGCUGUCCAUCUUACUGGCUUUGGAAAUGGGAGCAGCUCCUAAUCUGGUGAUUAAGCAAAUGCACUUCUUACGUUCGAGCCUUCUCAAUCAAUAAAGAAAACCAGACAGCGUCAUUGGGCUGACACGAUCAUCUACUUUUAGACUCAAGGCCUUCCCAGAUGGCACUUAUGGACAACGCUUUCAGAAACUGUUUAUUGCUGAGCCGCAGCCACACUGAAGGAUCACCCUAGCUGUCCAUCUGUGUGAUGUUUUACCCUACA